GCUUGUUAAAAAUGGAAGCAUUCCUGAAACCUCCGCAGAGUCUGCUUGGUGAUUCCACCCCUCACCCUCCCUAACCGAGCUUCAGAACCAGAAUACAGACAGGCAAACAACAACAAGUGGCACCCGAACUUGGGGCUCACGUAUAUCAGAGGUAGCCUCUGCCCAUCCAGCAGAAGAUGAAGAUUCUUUCGCCCCACACACACCUCGUCCCAAGGAGGCCGCUUCUUCCGGUCAAUUAUGGCGGCCCUCAACAUGCGCACCG
rnacentral:lncRNA from 1 species